rnacentral:misc_RNA from 1 species
GAUGAAGAACGCAGCGAAAUGCGAUACUUGGUGUGAAUUGCAGAAUCCCGUGAACCAUCGAGUCUUUGAACGCAAGUUGCGCCCGAAGCCAUUAGGCCGAGGGCACGCCUGCCUGGGCGUCACACGUCGUUGCCCCCCCAUCUACUCCUUCGGGAUUGCGGGGGGCGGAUUAUGGCCUCCCGUGCGCCUCGCCGCGCGGUUGGCAUAAAUGCCAAGUCCUCGGCGACGCACGCCACGACAAUCGGUGGUUGCGAAACCUCGGUUGCCCGUCGUGUGCGGUCGUCGCGCAUCGAGGGCUCGAAAAAAUUGCCGGGUUCCGGCUCGGCUUUCAACGCGACCCCAGGUCAGGCGGGGUUACCCGCUGAAUUUAAGCAUAUCAAUAAGCGGAGGA